AACGAACGCUGGCGGCAGGCUUAACACAUGCAAGUCGAACGCUCGGAGCGAAUCCGGGAGUGGCGGACGGGUGAGUAACGCGUGGGAACGUGCCCUGAGGUAGGGAAUAACUGCGGGAAACUGCAGCUAAUACCCUAUGAGCCCAUAGCAAUAUGGGGAAAGAUUUAUCGGCCUUGGGAGCGGCCCGCGUCGGAUUAGCUAGUUGGUGGGGUAACGCCUACCAAGGCUUCGAUCCGUAGCGGUCUGAGAGGACGAUCAGCCACACUGGGACUGAGACACGGCCCAGACUCCUACGGGAGGCAGCAGUGGGAAUCUUGCGCAAUGGGCGAAAGCCUGACGCAGCCAUGCCGCGUGAACGAUGAAGGCCUUAGGGUUGUAAAGUUCUUUGCCCGUGACGAUGAUGAC
rnacentral:rRNA from 1 species